rnacentral:rRNA from 1 species
CAGCAGCCACGGUAAUACGGAGGGUGCAAGCGUUAAUCGGAAUUACUGGGCGUAAAGCGCACGCAGGCGGUUUGUUAAGUCUGUCGUGAAAGCCCUGGGCUCAACCUGGGAAUUGCGAUGGAUACUGGGCGACUAGAGUGCGGUAGAGGAUAGUGGAAUUUCCGGUGUAGCAGUGAAAUGCGUAGAGAUCGGAAAGAACAUCUGUGGCGAAGGCGACUAUCUGGGCCAACACUGACACUGAGACACGAAAGCGUGGGGAGCAAACAGGAUUAGAUACCCCCGUAGUCCCUGUCUCUUAUAC